CCUACGGGAGGCAGCAGUGGGGAAUAUUGGGCAAUGGGCGCAAGCCUGACCCAGCAACGCCGCGUGAAGGAAGAAGGCUUUCGGCUUGUAAACUUCUUUUAUCAGGGACGAAGCAAGUGACGGUACCUUAUGAAUAAGCCUCGGCUAACUACGUGCCAGCAGCCGCGGUAAUACGUAGGUGGCAAGCGUUAUCCGGAUUUACUGGGUGUAAAGGGCGUGUAGGUGGUAGUGCAAGUCAGAUGUGAAAAGUAGGGGCUCCACCCAUAGCCUGCAUUUGAAACUGUACUUCUUGAGUGCUGGAGAGGCAAUCGGAAUGCCGUGUGUAGCGGUGAAAUGCGUAGAUAUACGGAGGAACACCAGUGGCGAAGGCGAAUUGCUGGACAGUAACUGACGCUGAGGCACGAAAGCGUGGGGAGCAAACAGGAUUAGAUACCCGAGUAGUC
rnacentral:rRNA from 1 species